GGCGCGCGAUACAGGGUGACAGCCCCGUACACAAAAAUGCACAUACUGUGAGCUCGAUGAGUAGGGCGGGACACGUGGUAUCCUGUCUGAAUAUGGGGGGACCAUCCUCCAAGGCUAAAUACUCCUGACUGACCGAUAGUGAACCAGUACCGUGAGGGAAAGGCGAAAAGAACCCCGGCGAGGGGAGUGAAAAAGAACCUGAAACCGUGUACGUACAAGCAGUGGGAGCACGCUUCGGCGUGUGACUGCGUACCUUUUGUAUAAUGGGUCAGCGACUUAUAUUCUGUAGCAAGGUUAACCGAAUAGGGGAGCCGAAGGGAAACCGAGUCUUAACUGGGCGUUAAGUUGCAGGGUAUAGACCCGAAACCCGGUGAUCUAGCCAUGGGCAGGUUGAAGGUUGGGUAACACUAACUGGAGGACCGAACCGACUAAUGUUGAAAAAUUAGCGGAUGACUUGUGGCUGGGGGUGAAAGGCCAAUCAAACCGGGAGAUAGCUGGUUCUCCCCGAAAGCUAUUUAGGUAGCGCCUCGUGAAUUCAUCUCCGGGGGUAGAGCACUGUUUCGGCAAGGGGGUCAUCCCGACUUACCAACCCGAUGCAAACUGCGAAUACCGGAGAAUGUUAUCACGGGAGACACACGGCGGGUGCUAACGUCCGUCGUGAAGAGGGAAACAACCCAGACCGCCAGCUAAGGUCCCAAAGUCAUGGUUAAGUGGGAAACGAUGUGGGAAGGCCCAGACAGCCAGGAUGUUGGCUUAGAAGCAGCCAUCAUUUAAAGAAAGCGUAAUAGCUCACUGGUCGAGUCGGCCUGCGCGGAAGAUGUAACGGGGCUAAACCAUGCACCGAAGCUGCGGCAGCGACACUAUGUGUUGUUGGGUAGGGGAGCG
rnacentral:rRNA from 1 species